UCAUCUCCUUAUUCUGCCUGAUCCCGUCCAUCGUAGCCGCUUUCUUUUGGGUUUGGCGCUCGGAUGCAAGCUCGUUCUCUCCAGUCUUCACCAUCCUCUCUCGUCUUCACCGGUCCACGCGACUCCUCCUCCCAUUCUCUCGCCUCAUAUUCUCACUUACACGAACCCGAGUGCGGCGAGGCUCAGUCCUUCAAAGACGACCGAGCCGAACUCCGAAGACGGCCUUUCUUCUCGUUCGAGUGCGGCGACCUCCAAAGACUACUACUCAGACCUUCCAGUGCGGCGAGGCUUAGAAGGCUUUCUCUACCCCCUUUCUUCUCGUUUUUCCUCCGAAGACACCUUCGAAGACCAAACUAAAAGCACCUCCGAAGCCCAAAGGAGCAGACGACCUCUGAAGACGAAGGGGCACUAAGCGACCUCCGAAAUUCGUAGACCUCAAUUUGGAAGACAACCUUUGAAUACAAAACAACCAGAGUACGAUCUCCGAAGACCACAAAAUUUCAUCAGGCUGGUGAUGUUCUUGGCAAUGGCUUACAGGUCUAUGGAUCACAUAUUUCCUUCAUUAUUCAGUUUGUGGUAUGUAUCUUCACACGAACUAUUCAAAUUCAGUUAUGGUGCUGUGAGCAUGAAGAAAACCAGGGAAGAAAACACUUAAGCACUAGGCCACCACUCUUUCCCUUUCUAUGUCAAAUUUCUGGUGGGGCGGUGAAUGAGAUUCCUAUUGUAAGAAAAUCUGGUUCUGCUCUAACUGGGCAGAAAACUUGUUUGCACAUACGUCCAGUGAAGAUUGAGCUUUCAAAAUGGCACAUUUUUUUCCGGCUGGUGAUGUUCUUGGCAAUAGCUUACAGCUCUAUGGAUCACGCAUUUCCUUCAUUAUUCAGUUUGUGUGAGGUGGAUGUGAAAUGCUAUUUGCCUCACAAAAUCUAAUGCAAAAAUGGUUCUUGAGUGGCAUGAAGGGAGGACUCACCUUACCUAACAAAUAGCAUCAAUCAAGGUUUUCGGAGAGAGCUGUUCUGGAGGCCUGUCCAGCGGCAUUUUCCGGUUGCAUGUUUCUUCCAUUGAACUCUCCAAAGAUUGAGAGAGAGAGAGAGUUUAUGAGGCGGGAAUCACUGUAGCUAGUAGCUGAGAAAAGCUCAUCACUACCUUUAUUAGGUUGCUAUCAUUUAACAUCAGGAGCCAUCUAAACAGGAGAUUAUAUUGAAAUAUUGAUUGGUGUCUAUUAGCUUUUGUUAUGUUGUAUUGUUCAAUUUUGAUUUAAUGCUACUCUAAUUAUGUUUUUGUUUCCUAGUCUGCCAUUAGGAGGACCGUUGUUUGGAAUUUAGGUCUCACUAUUUAAAGUAGUUAUUUGAAUUUAUUAACCUAUUAUAAAGGUUAGAUUUUGAUUUUAUGUUAAUAACAUGUAGGCUUUAAAGAGCCUAUUUAAGCUUUCAAGGCCUAA